UAAUACGUAGGGAGCGAGCGUUGUCCGAAGUUACUGGGCGUAAAGCGCGCGUAGGCGGGCUGUUAAGUGAGAGGUGAAAGGCUGGGGCUCAACCCCAUGCAGUGCCUCUCAUACUGGCGGUCUUGAGUGCGGCAGGGAGAAGUGGAAUGGCUGGUGUAGCGGUGAAAUGCGUAGAUAUCAGUCGGAACACCGGUGGCGAAGGCGGCUUCUUGGGCCUGGACUGACGCUGAGGCGCGAAAGCUGGGGGAGCGAACGGGAUUAGAUACCCCGGUAGUCCCAGCCGUAAACGAUGGAUACUAGGUGUCGGGGGUAUCGACCCCUCCGGUGCCGCAGCUAACGCAUUAAGUAUCCCGCCUGGGGAGUACGGCCGCAAGGUUG
rnacentral:rRNA from 1 species